AGUGAACGCUGGCGGUAGGCCUAACACAUGCAAGUCGAACGGCAGCACAGUAAGAGCUUGCUCUUACGGGUGGCGAGUGGCGGACGGGUGAGGAAUAAAUCGGAAUCUACUUUUUCGUGGGGGAUAACGGAGGGAAACUUACGCUAAUACCGCAUACGACCUACGGGUGAAAGCAGGGGAUCUUCGGACCUUGCGCGAUUGAAUGAGACGAUGUCGGAUUAGCGAGUUGGCGGGGUAAAGGCCCACCAAGGCGACGAUCCGUAGCUGGUCUGAGAGGAUGAUCAGCCACACUGGAACUGAGACACGUUCCAGACUCCUACGGGAGGCAGCAGUGGGGAAUAUUGGACAAUGGGCGCAAGCCUGAUCCAGCCAUACCGCGUGGGUGAAGAAGGCCUUCGGGUUGUAAAGCCCUUUUGUUGGGAAAGAAAAGCAGCAGGUUAAUACCCCGCUGUUCUGACGGUACCCAAAGAAUAAGCACCGGCUAACUUCGUG
rnacentral:rRNA from 1 species